rnacentral:rRNA from 1 species
ACGGUGAAGCAGAGCUUGCUCUGUGGAUCAGUGGCGAACGGGUGAGUAACACGUGAGCAAUCUGCCCCUGACUCUGGGAUAAGCGCUGGAAACGGCGUCUAAUACCGGAUACGAGCUGCGACCGCAUGGUCAGUAGCUGGAAAGAAUUUCGGUCAGGGAUGAGCUCGCGGCCUAUCAGCUUGUUGGUGAGGUAAUGGCUCACCAAGGCGUCGACGGGUAGCCGGCCUGAGAGGGUGACCGGCCACACUGGGACUGAGACACGGCCCAGACUCCUACGGGAGGCAGCAGUGGGGAAUAUUGCACAAUGGGCGAAAGCCUGAUGCAGCAACGCCGCGUGAGGGAUGACGGCCUUCGGGUUGUAAACCUCUUUUAGCAGGGAAGAAGCGAAAGUGACGGUACCUGCAGAAAAAGCGCCGGCUAACUACGUGCCAGCAGCCGCGGUAAUACGUAGGGCGCAAGCGUUAUCCGGAAUUAUUGGGCGUAAAGAGCUCGUAGGCGGUCUGUCGCGUCUGCUGUGAAAACCCGAGGCUCAACCUCGGGCCUGCAGUGGGUACGGGCAGACUAGAGUGCGGUAGGGGAGAUUGGAAUUCCUGGUGUAGCGGUGGAAUGCGCAGAUAUCAGGAGGAACACCGAUGGCGAAGGCAAGAUCUCUGGGCCCGUAACUGACGCUGAGGAGCGAAAAGGGUGGGGAGCAAACAGGCUUAGAUACCCUGGUAGUCCACCCCGUAAACGUUGGGAACUAGUUGUGGGGUCCAUUCCACGGAUUCCGUGACGCAGCUAACGCAUUAAGUUCCCCGCCUGGGGAGUACGGCCGCAAGGCUAAAACUCAAAGGAAUUGACGGGGACCCGCACAAGCGGCGGAGCAUGCGGAUUAAUUCGAUGCAACGCGAAGAACCUUACCAAGGCUUGACAUAUAGAGGAAACGUCUGGAAACAGUCGCCCCGCAAGGUCUCUAUACAGGUGGUGCAUGGUUGUCGUCAGCUCGUGUCGUGAGAUGUUGGGUUAAGUCCCGCAACGAGCGCAACCCUCGUUCUAUGUUGCCAGCACGUAAUGGUGGGAACUCAUGGGAUACUGCCGGGGUCAACUCGGAGGAAGGUGGGGAUGACGUCAAAUCAUCAUGCCCCUUAUGUCUUGGGCUUCACGCAUGCUACAAUGGCCGGUACAAAGGGCUGCAAUACCGUGAGGUGGAGCGAAUCCCAAAAAGCCGGUCCCAGUUCGGAUUGAGGUCUGCAACUCGACCUCAUGAAGUCGGAGUCGCUAGUAAUCGCAGAUCAGCAACGCUGCGGUGAAUACGUUCCCGGGUCUUGUACACACCGCCCGUCAAGUCAUGAAAGUCGGUAACACCUGAAGCCGGUGGCCCAACCCUUGUGGAGGGAGCCGUCGAAGGUGGGAUCGGU